GCAGACACAUUCCAGCCAAUCGGCAGCAGACACUCCCUCCCAGACCCUCCCACCUCCUGGACAGCAUCCAUUUUACAUUCAUUGUGAAGCUGCAUUCUUAGUGAGCUGUCCAGGAGGUGGGAGGGUCUGGGAGGGAGGGUCUGCUGCUGAUUGUCUGGAAUGUGUCUG
rnacentral:miRNA from 1 species